rnacentral:tRNA from 1 species
AGAUAUGAAGUAAAAAAUUACAGUUAGUUUCGACCUAACCUUAGGAAAACAUUAUCCCUAUCUA